rnacentral:rRNA from 1 species
UACGUAGGGUGCAAGCGUUGUCCGGAAUUAUUGGGCGUAAAGAGCUCGUAGGCGGUUCGUCGCGUCGGCUGUGAAAUCCCGAGGCUCAACCUCGGGUCUGCAGUCGAUACGGGCGGACUGGAGUUCGGCAGGGGAGACUGGAAUUCCUGGUGUAGCGGUGAAAUGCGCAGAUAUCAGGAGGAACACCGAUGGCGAAGGCAGGUCACUGGGCCGCAACUGACGCUGAGGAGCGAAAGCAUGGGGAGCGAACAGG